ACAUCCUCAUCAGACGCACAGCUUACAGAGAGUCUCUAUACCACUGGUUCUGGGGUCUGGAGAUGGAGAAAGAGAGACAAUGGAGAGACACUGGGAUUUACUAAUCAAAAUGCAAAUAUUUUCCAUUAGAGCUACAAAAGACAUCUUACAACCUACAGUCAGAGAAGAGAGAGAGAAAACAUGGGCAUUGACAUUAUCAUGCAUUUACAGAGAGAAAACAUGGGCAUAUGAUUAUCAUGCAUUUACAGAGAGAAAACAUGGGCAUUAAAUUAUCAUGCAUUUACAGAGAGAGAAACAUGGGCAUUGAAAUAUCAUGCAUUUACAGAGAGAAAAAUGGACAUAAUAUUGCAUUACAGGAGAAAACAUGGGCAUUGAAUUAUCAUGCAUUUACAGAGAACAGACAGAAAACACGGGUAAAGAGACAUAUUGUAAGGUCUCUAUUAGUUAGAACAUCUGAAAUCUAA
rnacentral:lncRNA from 1 species